GGGUGCUUAGCUCAGUUGGUAGAGCGGCGCCCUUACAAGGCGUAGGUCGGGAGUUCGAGCCUCUCAGCACCCACCAUUUCCGUUUCGCGACACGCGUUCGAC
rnacentral:tRNA from 1 species